rnacentral:rRNA from 1 species
CCCUUAGAUGUUCUGGGCCGCACGCGCGCUACACUGAUACAUGCAACGAGUUUAUAACCUUGAUCUGACGGUCUGGGUAAUCUUCAAACUGUAUCGUGUUAGGGAUCGAUUCUUGCAAUUUUUAAUCGUAAACGAGGAAUUCCUAGUAAACGCAAGUCAUCAGCUUGCAUUGAUUACGUCCCUGCCCUUUGUACACACCGCCCGUCGCUCCUACCGAUUGAAUGGUCCGGUGAAGCGUUCGGACCGUGGCCUUUGGACGGUUCGCCGUCUGUUGGCUGCGGGAAGUUCGUUAAACCUUAUCAUUUAGAGGAAGGAGAAGUCGUAACA